AUUUCAUGAUUUUGUGAGCUCUAUCAUAUGACUUUAAGUGUUUCAUAUUAUGUUUUGAUUGAUCACUAUCAAUGUUAUUCUCUAUUGUCAUAAUUUUUGAACGAUCAAAUCAUUGAAAUUCUGUUUUAGUAUACUGAAUUAAAUUCAACACCUCAUACUUCAAACUUUGAACGUUGAAAUUGUUUUGUUUGAUUAUUAGCUAUGAGAUAAU
rnacentral:lncRNA from 1 species